rnacentral:lncRNA from 10 species
GUAAUUAUCCAGUUGAUAUUUAUCUUGUUCCAGUCACCUUUAGAAAGCUGUUUGGCAAGGGCAGUGACUGGAAGCUGGGAGAGAGGGUCAACAGCUGAAUCUCAGCCUGAUGGAGGCCACCAUUUAAUAAGUAAAUACAUGCACGGCUAUUUAGAUCCUGCAUCAGACAGGUCAUCAGAAAACAUGAAGCUAAAUGCAGUAAAGAAUUACUCUCUUGAACUCUUGAAAAUAUCAAAAACAUGAAGCUAAAUGCAGUAAAGAAUUAGUCUCUUGAACUCUUGAAAAUAUCAUUUUCUUAUAGAAAUGGUUUAAAAAUUUCUUUUUUAUUAUUUCUAAUUUUCCUUCAGAAAAUUGUGAGUUUUAACCUACAACACAUACACUCCAAGGUAAUGCCACUCUAAUGCUGUCUAGUUGAUCUGAAUAACUAACUGGUCAAUUAUCAGAUCCACCAAACUGUCUCUCUGGAGAUUAACUUCUGCCAGCAUAUUGGUUUCUGUUCAUUUUCACAAGAUUGACAGGCUCAUUACAGCAAUAUUAACAUCUUCCUUUGAGCACUCACACUGUGCAAUUGUAAUUUUGCAUAUGUUGAUGAGCAGGCAAUUACAUCAAAGAGUGAACACUGGGCUGAUGUGCAAGGCACUAUUUAAUUAUAAAAACAGUAUAGGAUUGAGCCCUGUCACUGAGUCUUCCAUUCCUUCUAUCUCGCCUGUUUCUAAUUUAUUUCUCUAUUUCUUCAUUUCUUCCUUGACUGUCUUCAUUCUUUGCUUUUUAUUUCUUUCUCCUUAAAUGACAGACCUUUUCUUAGAUGCCAUUUCUCUAUGUCUGCGCUUAAGACAAGAAUUUUUUUCCUCCUAGUUGUUGGUUAAUGUCUGCAAAUGUGAGAGCAUGUUAACAUGACAAACAACAAGGAAUUUGAAAUAAACUUAAAUGAAACA